rnacentral:rRNA from 1 species
UACGUAGGGUGCGAGCGUUGUCCGGAAUUAUUGGGCGUAAAGAGCUCGUAGGCGGUUCGCAAGUCGGAUGUGAAAUCUCCACGCUUAACGUGGAGGGGCCAUUCGAAACUGCUGUGACUCGAGUCCGGUAGGGGAGUGUGGAAUUCCCGGUGUAGCGGUGAAAUGCGUAGAUAUGUGGAGGAACACCGAUGGCGAAGGCAGCCCCCUGGGUCAAGACUGACGCUCAUGCACGAAAGCGUGGGGAGCAA